rnacentral:rRNA from 1 species
UACGAAGGGGGCUAGCGUUGUUCGGAAUCACUGGGCGUAAAGGGCGCGUAGGCGGCCUGGCAAGUCGGGGGUGAAAGCCUGUGGCUCAACCACAGAAUGGCCUUCGAUACUGUCGGGCUCGAGACCGGAAGAGGUCAGUGGAACUGCGAGUGUAGAGGUGAAAUUCGUAGAUAUUCGCAAGAACACCAGUGGCGAAGGCGGCUCACUGGCCCGAUACUGACGCUGAGGCACGAAAGCGUGGGGAGCAAACAGG